rnacentral:tRNA from 1 species
GGCGGGAUAGUGUAAAGGUAACAUGUGAGAUUCUGCAUCUCAAGCUGCUGGUUCGAUUCCGGCUCCCGCAACCA